GGUUGUAUAGUGUAGCGGCUAUCACUUUGGAUUUUGGUGGCCUCACGGUUCCCCAGACCUUCUAAAGAACCCGGCUCGAACCCGGGUACGACCU